rnacentral:rRNA from 1 species
CUCCUUUGACGUUAGCGGCGGACGGGUGAGUGACACGUGGGUAACCUACCUAUAAGACUGGGAUAACUUCGGGAAACCGGAGCUAAUACCGGAUAAUAUUUCGAACCGCAUGGUUCGAUAGUGAAAGGUGGUUUUGCUAUCACUUAUAGAUGGACCCGCGCCGUAUUAGCUAGUUGGUAAGGUAACGGCUUACCAAGGCGACGAUACGUAGCCGACCUGAGAGGGUGAUCGGCCACACUGGAACUGAGACACGGUCCAGACUCCUACGGGAGGCAGCAGUU